rnacentral:rRNA from 1 species
AUACGAAGGUCCCAAGCGUUAUUCGGAAUCACUGGGCGUAAAGAGUACGUAGGCGGUUUGGUAAGUCAGGUGUGAAAUCCCGAAGCUCAACUUCGGAACUGCAUCCGAUACUGCCAGACUAGAGUAAUGGAGAGGCAGGUGGAAUUCUCGGUGUAGCAGUGAAAUGCAUGGAUAUCGAGAGGAAGACCAAUGGCGAAGGCAGCCUGCUGGACAUUUACUGACGCUGAGGUACGAAGGCUAGGGGAGCGAAAGGGAUUAGAUACCCCAGUAGUCC